rnacentral:pre_miRNA from 1 species
AUGCUACUCCCUCCGUUCGGAAUUACUUGUCGCAGAAAUGGAUGUAUCUAGACGUAUUUUAGUUCUAGAUACAUCCAUUUCCGAGACAAGUAAUUCCGAACGGAGGGAGUAGAAG